rnacentral:rRNA from 1 species
GCCUGCAGCUAGCUCUCUGCAACUCUCACAUGGUCGCCCACUGAAGCUAAGCAGGGCUGCGCCCGGUCAGUACCUGGAUGGGAGACCACAUGGGAAAGCUAGGUUGCUGCCGGAA